rnacentral:misc_RNA from 1 species
GGUUUGGUUUUUCAGUUUAAACCGUUGAGUGCACAUCCCUUCUUGUUACAACUAAGACCACUUUUGUAUAAACAGUUGUGUUCAGUGAGAGAAUUUUUUCGUGUCUUUAUAUUUAGGUGUCUUAUGUUUUUCUAUGGUUUUUAAUAAAUGCAUGUGGAUGUCCACUGGAAAAGCAGAAGAGCUUGAAUUUGCACCUCCUGCACCAUCUUAAUUAAGAUAAUUUGAAUUGUAUUUAGAUAAUGUUGUUGGUCAAACCUUUUGCUUUAGAUUCAGAAAAAAAAAAAA